rnacentral:lncRNA from 1 species
CUCAGACUUCUGCCUGCGAUCCCCCCUUUCUCUCCAACAGGCCUCGAAGAGGCCAGAGUGGCCCCCCCGGAUCCCGGAGGGUGCGUACCACGCGGGAGCUCCCUCCGCAGUGAGCUGGGCGCGCUGGGGGGAGGUCCUUGCGCAUGCCAGGUGCACAUACUGCGCGCUCGCCUGCCCCAGUGCCGGUGCGCUGCGGCGGGUCGGGCAGUGCCUGAGAGGCUGCGCCCCCACAGCCUUCCGCGUCCGCGCCCCAAGUACAACUUCCGACUCUGCU